rnacentral:rRNA from 1 species
GAUGAACGCUGGCGGCGUGCUUAACACAUGCAAGUCGAACGAAGCGAUGGAGAACGGAGAUUUCGGUUGAAGUUUUCUAUUGACUGAGUGGCGGACGGGUGAGUAACGCGUGGGUAACCUGCCCUAUACAGGGGGAUAACAGUUAGAAAUGACUGCUAAUACCGCAUAAGCGCACAGCUUCGCAUGAAGCGGUGUGAAAAACUGAGGUGGUAUAGGAUGGACCCGCGUUGGAUUAGCUAGUUGGUGAGGUAACGGCCCACCAAGGCGACGAUCCAUAGCCGGCCUGAGAGGGUGAACGGCCACAUUGGGACUGAGACACGGCCCAAACUCCUACGGGAGGCAGCAGUGGGGAAUAUUGCACAAUGGGGGAAACCCUGAUGCAGCGACGCCGCGUGAAGGAAGAAGUAUCUCGGUAUGUAAACUUCUAUCAGCAGGGAAGAAAGUGACGGUACCUGACUAAGAAGCCCCGGCUAAUUACGUGCCAGCAGCCGCGGUAAUACGUAAGGGGCAAGCGUUAUCCGGAUUUACUGGGUGUAAAGGGAGCGUAGACGGUUUGGCAAGUCUGAUGUGAAAGGCAUGGGCUCAACCUGUGGACUGCAUUGGAAACUGUCAGACUUGAGUGCCGGAGAGGCAAGCGGAAUUCCUAGUGUAGCGGUGAAAUGCGUAGAUAUUAGGAGGAACACCAGUGGCGAAGGCGGCCUGCUGGACGGUAACUGACGU